rnacentral:rRNA from 1 species
AUUGAACGCUAGCGGGAUGCUUUACACAUGCAAGUCGAACGAGUGGCGGACGGGUGAGUAAUGUCUGGGAAACUGCCUGAUGGAGGGGGAUAACUACUGGAAACGGUAGCUAAUACCGCAUACCAUCAGAUGUGCCCAGAUGGGCUUAGCUUGUUGGUGGGGUAACGGCUCACCAAGGCGACGAUACCUAGCUGGGCUGAGAGGAUGACCAGCCACACUGGAACUGAGACACGGUCCAGAAUCCUACGGGAGGCAGCAGUGGGGAAUAUUGCACAAUGGGCGCAAGCCUGAUGCAGCCAUGCCGCGUGGAUGAAGAAGGCCGUCGGGUUGGAAAGUACUUUCAGCGGGGAGGCGUUACCCGCAGAAGAAGCACCGGCUAACUCCGUGACAGCAGCCGCGGUAAUUC